GACGAACGCUGGCGGCGUGCUUAACACAUGCAAGUCGAACGGAAAGGCCCUGCUUUUGUGGGGUGCUCGAGUGGCGAACGGGUGAGUAACACGUGAGUAACCUGCCCUUGACUUUGGGAUAACUUCAGGAAACUGGGGCUAAUACCGGAUAGGAGCUCCUGCUGCAUGGUGGGGGUUGGAAAGUUUCGGCGGUUGGGGAUGGACUCGCGGCUUAUCAGCUUGUUGGUGGGGUAGUGGCUUACCAAGGCUUUGACGGGUAGCCGGCCUGAGAGGGUGACCGGCCACAUUGGGACUGAGAUACGGCCCAGACUCCUACGGGAGGCAGCAGUGGGGAAUCUUGCACAAUGGGCGGAAGCCUGAUGCAGCAACGCCGCGUGCGGGAUGCCGGCCUUCGGGUUGUAAACCGCUUUCGCCUGUGACGAAGCGUGAGUGACGGUAAUGGGUAAAGAAGCACCGGCUAACUACGUG
rnacentral:rRNA from 1 species